ensembl:lncRNA
UUUUAGCUGCAAGCUCCAACAUGGACUUGGGCUCCACCACCGCUGAUACCACUCAACCUUUACCUGCGGGUAUUUAAUGACCAGUUAAUGAGCAAUUAAAGACAGCUGUCUCCUUGAGGACUGAAGCCAGCCUGCUUUUACUCCCCUCCCCCAAGGAAGCCACUACACACUCAGGGCACAGAGAGGAAGGGAGAGGCGUGCUAAGACUAUCAAAAAGAGCGAUGUCUGUAAGACCUUGGAGGAGUGGGCUGCAGCAUCUGGUUUAGUUGCCGACUUCUGAAGAAUUUCAUCAGUAAUAAAGUUUCACCCAAAUGUUGUUUUUGACAGCACCCUAAGUCCUGUUGAAAACCACUCUCAGCCAUUUUAUCAGCUGUAAUCAGCACCUGGACAGAUUUAAGAAGUAAUAACUACAUCCUAAAUGCAACCAGUGCUCUCUACAGGAACACUCUGAAGAAAUAACACUUCCCCAGGAGAUGGAGCAAGAAGAUAGUGUGUUGCAGAUGUCUUUUAGAACAGAGGCUGACACAGACAAGGAGAGAAAAAUUAAAUAGGGUAGCUUCACAGCAAGACGCUGGGCUUUGGGACCAGUGGAGCACAAAGUUGGACCCAGAGGUAAAGAUCGCAAAACUAUUUGGGUUGGGAGCAUUCUUGGAGGUCCCAGGGCAGCCCCUGCUUCGGGCAGGACCAGUCUUGCAGCUGCAUCAUGUUGCUUGGGGUCAUCUGGCUGAGCCUGGCUUGCCUUAAAGGAUAGAAAUGCCUCAUGGUAGAAAAUAACAACAAAAUAGAACAAAACAAAACAAAAAAGAAAAACCAACACCUCAGUUUCUCACAUUCUAUGGGAAUUUCUUGUGUUGUAACUUGUCUCUGCUGCCUCUCUUCUGGUCAUGGUGUGAUUUGCAAAGGAGUCUGGCUCCAUCUUCUUUACAGUAGUCAGCUCUCCCUUUAACCACCCCAAGUCUCUCUGUCUCUUCAUAAUUGUUCCCUAGCUCUGCUUAAAUUGCUUCCAAAGACUAGACCUGAGGUCAGGAAACACCAUUAAAUGUAGGUUUGUCCCACGAGCUGGAUCCUAGCGAGCAGCGUGGGGACUGCCAGACGCGGAAGGGGAGUGCGCAGGUGGAGGGGCGGCGUGGGAAGAGGGGGACUCCUGUUUUAGAUCUUGAUGUUGAUCAGUGCUCAACAUUUCCUAUGGCCUGGAACGUGAAUCGCAUCAAUUCUUGAUAGUAACAGUCUGGAAACUCGUGUUAGUGAUUACUGCUGGAAGGGGUCAGCUUCCACGCUUUGUAACGCAGCACGGUCGGGUCUUGUAGGCAAUCUUUUCUAUAGUGGGUUGUAGGAGGGUGGCUCAGGGAGCAAGAAUUUGUAAGCUCGAGUGCUAUGUGCACAACCCAGGCUAUGAGACCUUGAAGCUGUCAAAGCAGGAAGAAAAACUGAGGCUUCAGUUAAGAUAAAGGGGUAGCUAGCCUGGGAAGAGAUCAAGACAGUGGAAUGCGAAGAACAGUGAAAAAAGCCGUGUGAUGAUUAAUGCUGUACCAAUAGCUAACGAGCAAGACGUGUGAUUUCUGUGUGCUAACCAAUUAUAAGUUGCCGUGUGUACCUGUAUUUCUGUAUAAGUAUGUGCUGAUUCGGGCAAUAAAGUAGGAUUAGAAGUUUCCACCAUU